AUUGAACGCUGGCGGCAUGCCUUACACAUGCAAGUCGAACGGUAACAGGUCUUCGGAUGCUGACGAGUGGCGAACGGGUGAGUAAUACAUCGGAACGUGCCCGAUCGUGGGGGAUAACGAAGCGAAAGCUUUGCUAAUACCGCAUACGAUCUACGGAUGAAAGCAGGGGACCGCAAGGCCUUGCGCGAACGGAGCGGCCGAUGGCAGAUUAGGUAGUUGGUGGGAUAAAAGCUUACCAAGCCGACGAUCUGUAGCUGGUCUGAGAGGACGACCAGCCACACUGGGACUGAGACACGGCCCAGACUCCUACGGGAGGCAGCAGUGGGGAAUUUUGGACAAUGGGCGAAAGCCUGAUCCAGUCAUGCCGCGUGCAGGAUGAAGGCCUUCGGGUUGUAAACUGCUUUUGUACGGAACGAAAAGACUCUGGUUAAUACCUGGGGCCCAUGACGGUACCGUAAGAAUAAGCACCGGCUAACUACGUG
rnacentral:rRNA from 1 species